rnacentral:lncRNA from 1 species
UAAUUAGUUUGAGAUUAGUAGACAAACUAAAUAUCAUGAAGAAUGAAAUAAGAGAGAGAGUAAGUAGAGCAGUAGAUGACAGAGUAAAGGCCAGGAAAGAGACUAAAUGGCAAGGUAAAGACGGUAGGGGGCUCGAGAAGGAGAGAGAAGGGACAGCUCUAGUGUAGUAGUGUUUGGUAUUUUUACACUAUUAAAUUGGUGUGCAAGAAUGGCAAGCACCCCCUAUAUCUUUUUUAGCGCAAUAAAAAGAUUAAAAAAAUAUUUCUGCCAAAUUUAGCACAGAUCUUUGAAGCAGACAUAUGUCCAUUGGGCAGCCUUGUGAGUAAAAAGAGGAGUCAAAUGUACUGUAGCUAAUUAGUAGUAAAAGGAUAGCGACCAGACCACUGCCAAAACCCCAGAGAGAGAGUUCUGUCUUUUCCUUAGGUAUCCUUGUUUUUUUUUUAACUGCUCCUUCCUGCCUUGCAAUCCUUUCCAUUAUCUAAUAAUGGGAGUAUAAUUGUGUUACUUACCACAUGUUUAAGGUCUUUAAUGUGUUGUUAAGUGGAGGAAUUUACAAAAGCACAAGGUUUAAGCUUGUCUGUCAGUGUCAUUUACUGCUACAUGGACAAAUCUGUCCCUUUGAAAGUUAUAUGCUGCCUCUCUCUCUCUAAACUAGGAUUUUGGCAGUAACACUAUAUUUUGCAAGGAUUUAGAGUUCUGGGUGGUGUGGUAUGGAAAAGAAGGUUCCUGUUUGGUCCAUAAACGAAAAAUGUGAUGCCAGAACAACAGACAAUUCCACAUGAACUUGCAGGUUAUAAUUAGCCUGAGCAAUGCAAGGUGCCUUCAGAUUCAUUUUACUUUCAAAAAGGACAUCCCGAUAGAUAUGUUGCACAUCAUCUGGGUUAAUUAAGUGAACUUAAACAGUGGAUUACCAAUAAGAUUCAAAUUUGAGAUUACUAGCCAUCCAAACCAUAAAACUUGCCUAUUUAUCUAGUAUUGGAAACUGAAAUAAGUUUCUUCUUAUGUACUCAUGUUCGAAUGAUGCAUUUAAGAAAUUAUACACCAUGAUUGAUUCUAACAGGAUUUCAGACGAUUAAACUUUUAAAACAAAUAGGAAAAGAAAGUACAGAGGAAGACGGUGCUGAAAAAUACUGCUGAAACUCUUUCAAGUCAAAAUAUUGUUAAGCACAAUCCCGACGGCAAAACUCUUUAUAACUAAUCUUGUCACUCACUGCAAUGCCUUUGACUUUGUUUUCCUCUUGUCUAGUCCUGUUCCACUCAGAGUUCAUUGUUCAGGUUUAAGUUGCUUCUUACUUCAUCUAAACCAUUUUCUCUCUCUUUUUUUUUUUAACAUCUUAAAUUUUGUAUUUUAUUUUUAUAUCACAAACCUUUUACUUCCUAAAUAAAAAUAUUUCUUCAUCAUAUCUUUUGAAAAGCUUCAUUUCUUUCAUUUAAUCAGGAUAACAAACUGAACUUACAUGGAUUUACAAGCAAAAAAGAAGUUGAAAAAAAUCAAUUCUCUUAUGCUAGUCAUGUCAAUCUCAACUUUCUUGAGUAAGAUUGAAAAUAUUACAUCUGAGUUAACACGAAACCUAGGCUGGGGCGGUGGCCGAAGAGCUUUGUGUUCAUGGUCCAUUGGUGGUUUGCUUUAUUUAUUUCUUGCUCAAGAUCCUGUAAUGACUAAUGAGCUUAAUGGCUUGGAAAUUGGCGCCACAGUCUUAGGGUUGGAGAAGUUAAAUGAAUAACACAGGAAGGGCAAUUUGGUGAAGGCAAAUGAUAACACAAAUACGCAAGUUGGGAUUUACGUUUUGAGGGUUCUGUGAGGGUAUGCCUUGACACAAUCUGACAACAUAUGGCGGAAAAAGCCUCUUUCCUCACCUCGGAAUUCCCUACUUCCUCCACUUUCAAUAACCAAGUUUGGUUUGUCCCAAAAAUAUGUAUUCUGCACUUUGAAUAGAACAAGAAUCAAGAGUUGGAUGGCAAGGAAUAAAUUAAGUCAAUAAAUAACAACUGUGCUUUCUGUGCUGCAUGGAGUGGGAGAGUUGCUUUUUUUUUAUUAAUCUCCUUGUUCCCUUCUUUAACCCUUUUGGACAUGAGGACAGAAUAAGAAUACGAGAGAGUUAAAAAUAUUGGGACAACCUCAACAUGACUGUAACUGUCCUGUGCUACUAUUAAACAACCACUACGUUGUUGGACAUGGAUGGUUGGGCUUACUCUCCAAUUUCCACCAGACAGGUGGACGACCUGAACAGACAAUAAUCCCUGCUAGAUUCUGGAUUAGGAAACCUGAAAUGUGGAGUUGUUCCAGACUAGUUCCAUUCCGGGUGAUGUAAUGGCCUCCACCCCCACACCCAAUCUCCAAUCAAUAUAGAAUUCCAACACUGUUAACAGUUGUGAAGCAGGUAUGCCAGGUUUCUACAGAAUCUUGAUGGAAGCUUGAGAAGCCUAACAUUCAAUUUAUUUAGUGGCACUUGAAAAGUACUCUUCCUUAGAGGUGCAAGAUGGGUUGUUUGUUUCUUUUGUGCAAUGAAAUUUCAUGGUUACCUUCAAAAGCUUUUGAUACGGAUACAGCAAUUCUUUUCUAAAUUAACAAGGAACAAUUUCCAGAGUCCUGUUUCCCAGAAUUAAAGAAAACUAUCAGUGCGAUAAACAAAAAGGUUACAAGAUAAAAAUAGAAGGGGAGGAAAAGAUCAUCCAAAUAGACUAGGGGCGGCGGGAUUUCACCAAAGUUAUCUGUCGGCCAUUUGUCUUAAUAGAGCCCAGCACGAGAUAAUUCCACAUUGAACACCAAUUGCACCAUUGCCUUGCUACGGACAUAUAAUCACCAUGACAUAGUUGCUUCCAACAUUGUUGUCCAUUUGCCCCUUUACACAACCGAAACUGUCCGCCACGUCAGAAUCGGUAAAGAUGUUACUAUGUUGGUAUUAUGUAAGAGUGAAAAGCAAACAGGAAUGUGCAACAUAAUCUGCAUAUUGUGGGAUUCACAACAUCAACGAGACAAAUGCACCAACUAAAGAACAAAAGGAGCUAUUAUAAAAAGACUAAGAAAACUAUCCCAGGAAAUAAACUAUAAUAGUCGUCACCUUGUACUCUUCUCUAGUUCUUUUUAAGAGGUUUUUUUUUUUUUCCGGCACACAGCCUAAAUGCAGGUAUUAGUUUCCAGUUAAAAGUUAUAGUGUACAUUAAAGAAUUGAAGGCUUGCUCCUCUUAUCGCUUUCGGAAGCUGCCUCGUAUUCACAUAAGAGAAUGAUACAACAAAGCAAAACAUGCAAUACGGCAAGAUCAGGUACUGCCAGCUUCUGUUGCCAGUGUAUUAGGAGGCAAGUUAACUCCUCCCCCUCUAACAGAUAGAUUAGGAGCCUUAACAGAGCUAGCCCCGCUCACGUGGUUUGAGUCAAGAAACACCACAAUUACUGUGAUGUCAUCGUGGAAAUGCCGCCUGACACCACGGUCAAUCUUCUUCAAGUCAGAAUACCUCAUUUCUCUCUUCUUCGCUGCUUCUUGUAGAGCAGUUUUUACCAGCCUCCUUGCAAUUCCCUGCAUGACGUCCAGAACAAAAUGUUAAGAUGAACUUCACAUCAUCAAUAAAAUGCAUAAGCAACAAUUUAUCUAUAAAUGAAUUUAUAACUCAAAAUCAUACGACAAGGAAAAUGAAAUAAAGAAAUAUUACAUGAUAAACAGAAAGGAAAGGGAACCUUGUUCCUGCCCCCUCUAUACAACAACAAGUGCAUGAGCAUGUGCGCAUGUGCUUCAUGUGUGCGAGUAACUUGUCCCACGUGCUUGCAUGCAGUAAAAACCACUCAAAAGAAAAGGCACACUGUUCACGACAGAGUAAAUUGCCUUUCAUAAUUGGUCUAGAUUAAAUACAAUGUGAAGUAGAAACUUGUGUUCAUACUGGUUGACUUGUUCUAGUUGAGCUAUUUUGCUUAAUUAAAGUGGUAAUUGUCAAGUAGCAGUAAUAGGAUGGAAAAAGAUUGAACAAGCAGUCAUGGUUCUUCAAGUUAUAUGCCAUAGCCCACGCAACAAAAGGAAAGUUUCUCAAGAUAACUAAUCAAAGCUUCAUUAAAAACUAGAAUUCCAAAAUCCAUUAUCAGCGACCAACAAGAAAAGCUUUCAUACUCUAACCAAAUGAAAGUGUCAGAAGUAUAGGAGAAAAGAAUACUGCUCAUAAUAAGAUUAACAAUAUUUAACAUUCAGGCAUAAACUUACACUUCGUGGAUGAUUUUGAACUAUAUCAACAGCUUCUUGAUUGCUUAGGUGCUCCCAGAGCCCAUCCGAUGCAAAUAUCACGAAUUGAUCAUGUGGCUGCAGCUGGUGCACUGAUAUCGAUGGGUCUGCGCUCAAUAUUGGCUUUUUGAAAGGUUCCCGAAGGCGAAAUUUGGGAUAUAAAGGCUCCCUGUUGAACUCAGCUUUUUUUAAAUAUACAUCACCGAUAGAUCUAGAAACCUGAAAGGCCAAGAAUUCCAUUAAUAAACUCUCACAAAAAGUAAGAGGCAGCAGAACAAACCAUGGAAAACCAUAGCAAGGAAAUUAUAAUCUUGCACUGCUGGACAGAUUGCAUGCACUUGUGAAAUGUACUAAACCUCUCUAUCUCUCAUUUGGGGGGAACAAGUGGUUGUUUUUAGUAAUCUUAUCACAGAUAGAAUUAACACAGUGACGCACUCUGGUCAAGUUCAAGGUUUGACAAAACGGAUUGCAGUUGUGGCAGGAAAUUUGCACAUAAAGAAGAAUUGCCCGUGGCAGCAAUAGAAUCUCUUCACAUAUGAAAUCCAAGAAAUUAGUCGUGCUUCUAGGUUCCCAAUUUUCUUGAGAAGCUUUAUAAUAUUUGUAAAGAUUCCGAUUGAAAAAUGAGACCUUGCUGGGAAGUUUCUCAACCAAUUGACUAAGCAUCAGAAACCAGUUUAAACCAUCACUCAGAAUUUUUACUUAUAAUUCAUUCUCUCUUUAAAACCUGGAAAUCAUAUAACUGUAAAACACAGGGUAAUUAAAACCUAGCACGUCAGGAUAUUUCCUUUUACCAAUCCUCUUUGGCAACAAAGCUCAUAUACCUGUACAGAGCUGAAAAGUCAUACAGCUAAAGUGAUUCCAUAAUAAAGCCUAAAGUAGCAAAGUAACCAACUCCAGGCUCACCACUGAGCUUAUUAGUUCCAGAUCUGGAAUAUAUGGAUAAGUGUUAUCCACGGAUAACCAUCAAAUCACUUUCUUGCAAGAGAUCAACAUACAAUCCAACAAAAUUUUUAGAUUCCAUCACUUUAUGCAACAGUAAAUAAUGCUAAUUUAUCCCUUUCCAUCAACUUUGAUAAUUACUAAGUUCUCUCAUAUUCAAAGGUCUUUCUUAUUUCCCUUUCUCUUUUGGCUUUGCAGAUACAUCCAUGCAUCCAACUGAAUAACAGGCAUCCUUCCCCUCCUCAGCUCCACCCUAUCUUUACCACAUGGGAGGAGAAGAUACCAUGCAGCUGAUAUAUCUAUUUCUUUCUAACAAAUUAAACCCCUUUUUUCUCCAGAAAACUGCCCUCGGAAAUGUAAUCAUAUAAAUACAUCUUCACUCCAAAAAGGAAGCACGAAUAAAUAAAACAUUGCCCCAGGUUCAUGCCUUGCUUUAAGAAUUUAUUAUAAAUCAAGCUAGAUAAAACAAACUUUCAAAUAUUCAGAAUUCAUAAACAACAUGCUCUAUGGUGCUCAACUUAGACAAGAACUGGUUCAAGCUCUCUAUGCGUCUUGCAGCACAGAUGAAUAGAAGCAGUACUUGCUCCUUUUUUUAAAAUGGCUAUUCUUGUAGACAAAGGUAAUUUAAGCCAUAAGUAGAAGCAAGUUUCAAUGUCACAGCAAUGCAAAAGCAUCAAUGUUUAGAAAAUGGUGACAUUAACUAGUCAUCUUAGCAGUUAAGUAACUAUUAAAAUUAAAAAUUGUUUGCAUAGUGAAACUUACCUGUAUGAGACCUUUCACACGCCAUACAUUGUACUUCAAAACUACAAUUUGUGGGUCAUCAGGGUGCAAUGACUGCAGCUCCUGCCUUACAGACUCUAUGCAGACAUUAUGCUCAGCCGACAGCUGAACAGCUAGUACCUCUCCUGUUGCCUUCACAGCUCUCCCCAAAACAGCACGCGAAUCACCAAGGUUGGCAACAUAAAGGGUUCCACCACAGAUAACACCAACCAGGCAGCAGGAUCCAACAGCUGCGAUUUGUGGUUUCAUAGGCCACUGUUUGGUAACAAGAGACAAAAAACCUUCUUCUGUUGCUUGAUAUGCUUUUCGUAUCACAUCAACUGACAUUGUCUGUUGCUCUGAAGUUAACCCUGAACAUAGAAAAUAUUUCAGAAUAACAAACACCAUCGAUGCCAAAGUGCAUGAAGGAAAGAAAGAACAAGUAGAGAUAUCUCUGAUGUUUGCAAUUUUAUUUCUUUCUUUUAGUAUUAUAUACCAGGCUCUACAUCUACCAAUUGGAAUUGACACACAAAACGACAAAAGUGAUCAAAAAGAACUGAUGACUUUUUGGACUCAAAACAAAAAACCCUUAACUGUGGCAGCAACAAGUUCACUACACUAAUUAGUUUUAAUCAAUUAAUUAUAUCCAAAACAAUUGCUUAUUUAAUACUUCUUUCCUCUACUUCCUUAAUCAGUAAAUAGACGGCAACAGAAACUAAACCCUAGGAAAGGCAAAAGUACUUACUCUUGAGAUGUUGAAAGAGAUGAUCAUUGAUGUAGCGCGAAGUCUCUGGGCCCCCAUGCCCAUCAUAUACGCCAAUAAAAGUACCAUAGGGACCCAACUCAUGUGAACUCAAAGAACCAGACGCAAGCUGGCUCUGGUCCUCAAGUAAAUUGUUGGCUUGAACCACUGCCAUUGAGAACUCACCACUAAAGUGCUGCCCUGUGUCCUUGUACCACAAAAGCCCAUCUUGGCGACCUCCAGCAUCUGAACUUGUGUGAACGUAUCGAUCAGACCUUGGCCGAAAACAGGCCCUCAAAAAGUUCAUCAACCCAGAUAACAUCCCUCAUCUCAUCCAAAAAACCCUCCGAAUUCUCCACAUCUAAAUAACCACUGAAUACAAACUAUACCCUAGAAGCCUGAACAGUGAACCGUAUCCUCCUUUGCUUCUCAACACAAUAAUUGUACACUAUACCAACAUCAGCAACAACGCACACCCAAAAGGUUAGCAAUAAUGCAAUGUGCCAUAAAGGCUCAAAAGCAACUAAACCAAGAAAACGACAACUACAAAUUAUAUGUUCCACUACUCCUCAAGGGGCAAUUAACAGCAUCAAUCAGAAAGUACAAUAAAUUCGAUUACUAUAUAAUGAAUAACUAUCAGAUCAAAUAAAUGAUGUAGUAGAAGCCACCUCUCUCAGUUUGUUUAGUUAUUAAGAUUAAGCUCAAACAACAGAAACUGUUCCCUCUUUAAACAGGAAGGCCAUGACCGUAAUAGCUCCUUUUGCUGAAAAAAUCAACAAAACACAAAGGAGGGGUUUUUGAAAACAACGGAAUUGGUCAAAGCUCACUUUUUCUUUCUUUUUUUCUAACAAAGCAGUCGGUCAGCCCUUGGGAAAUCCAGAAGGUCUAAUAUUUCACAUUGAGAAUUUUAAACAGCCCAGUUUCACGUAUCCCUUUAGACCCAAUAAGCAUCAUAAUUCAACUUGUAUUUCCCACACUAAAUAUUAAAAAAAGAAGAAGAAGAAACUUACCUUUUCAUUUGACCCCUUUGGUUUAUAAUUGAAAAGGAGGAUCUGGAAAUGGGAAAGGGAAAAACUUCAUGUGGGCAUGAAACUGGAAUUAGCAGAUCUAUGGAUCAAUCAAAUCAAAGCAAGAGAAAAAACAAAGUUUGGAAUUUGGUUGGCUUCAACUAGUGAUGAGAUAAUUGGAGAAGAUGAAGGAGGAAAGCACAUAAUAGAGAAAUGGUUGAGUUCUUUUUUUUUCUCUUUAAUUUCUCUUACGAAAAAAGAGAAGUCUUUUUAUGUGAAAGAUUUUGGCUUUGGCCCCCAACAACUUACAUAAACUCUCUUUCUCUCUCCUUUCUAUCUUGCUUUUCCAUCUCCCUCUUGUGUCUCCCUCUAAUUCUCAGCAGACAAGACCAUAAAAGACCAACAAUGGAGAGCUUGAAGCCAGCAAAGCAAUGGUCCAGUUUUGGGCUCCACACCACUAUGGUAAUAGAGAGAGAGGAAAUUAGAAAAAGAGAGAGAGAGAGAGAGAAGAUUCACAGCUUGGAGAGAGUCAAUGAAAUCAAGUUUUGUGGACUAUGGUAUUCAACAUCACCACAUAAGAUGAAAGGGAUCACACGUGGCAGCACAGGUUGCUUGCCACGAACGUUAUUAUUACCGGUGUUACGGUGUAUUCAUCUACAUCCACUAAGUUGCUACACGUGUUAAUUUCUGGAUAGUAGGAUGAAAUCUUCAUGCGUAUGGCGGUGGUCGUUAUUACAGGUUACUGUUAGAAACGGAGUAACAGCGUCAAACCUCGCUCGCUCCAUCGUUAAAACUCAAAGCCUGUUUUUGUUUGUCUAUGGAUUCGAUCAGGGGAAUUCGGAGAAAAGGGCCAAUAGCAUGCCUAGAAUGUUACAUUCUGAGGGUAUUUUCGUCACUAAGGAUGCGGGUGGAUGAUUUUUAGGUGGCUUGUUUGUUUAACAAUCUGUUGGGUAAAGCAAUUCAUGAAAUUCAGAGCCUUUUUCUAGCAAGAUGGAUUUUUUAAAUUGUCAAAUUUAGAAAGAUUUUUUUUUUCUCUACAUCAAUUCAUUUUGGAGGUUUAGACAAUGUGGACCGAUGCCAUGUAAUAGCCUGGAUGAGUUUAGUUGAGUUCUCUGCACAAAAAUGAGCAGAGUCAAUGAUUUCUUUAAAUGAGAUGAAUGUCUAACAUUGAUCGAAUACAGCUUAUAGUAGAGGAUAUAUUCAUAAUAAUUUUUCUGUUUUGUAAGGUAUAGCAUAUGCUUGUGAUGUCACAAAAGCAGAGCAUAAAGACUCAGAAAUUUCCAGCUUUAGUAAGCAAAAAGAAAUGAUUGCAAGGUUUGAUGUUUAACAUCUUGGCCCAGAGAGGAUGACGAAGAAACAUAAACUGUGACAUAGCAAACAUCCAAAUGAACAAUGACAAAAGCCAAAGAAAAUUAAGAAAUUGAAAGGAAAUUCAAACAAGUUUCAGUUGAUGGAAAAAGCAUUGUCAAUUCUCUUCUGGCAUGCCAAGACUAGGUAAACAAAUUUUACAGGUAAUUACAAGUCAAUAACCCAUGCAGUUAACUAAAACUAGACAUAAAAGGGGAUUAUUCUACAUAAAUAAAUGGCAAAGAUUAACAGUAUAAGGCCCAAGGAAGAAGAUUAUGGACAACAAGUUACAGAUGUUUCAACUCUUGGGACAAAGGUCGCAAGACAAGGAUCAACAGAAACAAGGAAAGGAAAUCCCACUUAAAACCCAGAAGAAAAAAUUAAAUCCCAAUUAAAAAUAUUAUGUCAUCAACCCUGAAGAAAAGCUGGCUUAAAAUCAAAACCAAGGCUAAUGCAAAGCUAGCCUGAGACCAGACAAGAGAAAUUCCUCGUAGCCACAUUGUCCUCCCUUUUUUCUCAUUAAACCCACAAAUUUCAAGCAGAAGAUAACUUCAAAGGCAAAUUAACAAUUUUUGCAGAACAAAAUAAACCCACCUAAAUAUUCUUCAAAACCAGGUUGGUGUAGAUUAAAAAGCAGCGAGAAUGUUGCAAAUAAAGAUAGAACACAAGUGAAGCUCAAAAUGUGUCAAGGGGGAAAAGGAAAAGUACCCACCGAUUGAUUUCCUCCAAACCAGAUUGCAAAUGAACCAUAUUAGCCUCUAGCAUUCUUGAGACAUCCUUCCCAGAAUCAUAAGCCCUAAUGAAAUGAUCCUCAAUAUCCUUCACGGCUUCUAAAAGCUCCCUUUCCUUUUCUGGGCUGUCAAUAACUGUAAGCCCCUUCUGCUCUCCUUGGCUCACAUGAGUCUCCUCCUUAACUUUAAUCAGACCACUUUCACUCUCUUCAUGCUCCCUGCAGCUAGUAUCUUUUUCUUCAACAAAGACAACUUUUUUCUCUUCCUCUUUGCUAUCUCCUACCUCUUCUAGAUCUGGUAUCCCUUCCUCUUCUCUCACCGCUCUUAAAUCAUCAUCAGAACACCUGUUAUACCCACUUAUAAUCUCUGGUCUAACAACAUCAAAUGGAUUAAAAAAGUCCCAACCGAAAUCUCUUUGUGGUGAUGGCAUUGGCGGUGGCAUUUGCAUAUAAAAGUACCCACAAGGUUGUUCUUCUUCUUCUCCUCUUUACCACCUCUUCUUUAGUGUCUUCCUCUGAAGUACCUGAGCUUGUUGAAGAAUAACAAGACUCGCAAGCAAUGGCUUCAUGGGUUGACUCUGAAGGUGUUUGUUGGAGGAACAUUGUGUUGGUUAUCACAUUUUGAUCUGUAGCUGGCGGUGUAGGUGGAGGAAAGGUGAAGAAGGUGAAGAAUGGCGAGCUACAAAGAGCUUAAUAGCAGCUGCCACUGCAUAAAGAGCUUGACAGUACCUACAAUGUGCUUCUGCAGGUGCAUAUCUUCUAUCUCUGCUAGCUUUAUAAGGCGUUUUCUUUCUCUACAGAUUGACACAACUUCUUCUUGUUCCUCUAGUCUAGAAGCAACACUGCCCAUCUCCCUUGCUAAAGCCUGGAGGUGUUUUUCUGGUUUCAACAGGCCUAGAAGCUACUACUUUUGAAUAAAUGGGGACAGUGUAAAGUAAAGAAAGGUGAUCCUUGGAAGGAAUCAAUAAGUAUUAUUUUCUGAUAAAACGGAGGUGGGGUUGUAACAAAAUGGAAGAAUGAGUUAGAUUUUACAAAGGUUUGAGAGAAUCAAAGAAGGAAAAUGUAGCUUUUGGGGAAUUUUUAGAAUAAGCCACUUCAUCUUUUGAUAAGAAAAAAAAAGUUGGUUUCCUUCCUGAAACGUAGCUCCUGCAAAAGUUUUAUAUUUUCCCAUUUCAUCUCUUGGCACCAUGCACCCACAUACGAAAAGAAUCCUACAGAGGUGGUUCCUCCUUGUAUUUUCUUUUUACCUUUAUUCCUUGAGAGGGGAAAAAAUUCUUUUCCUAUGCUGAAAUGUUGAUAAUUAUCCGUUAAAACACUCUAAUUAGUUUGAGAUUAGUAGACAAACUAAAUAUCAUGAAGAGUGAAAGAGUAAGUAGAGCAGUAGAUGACAGAGUAAAGGCCAGGAAAGAGACUAGAUGGUAAGGUAAAGAAGGUAGGGGCUCGAGAAGGAGAGAGAAGGGACAGCUCUAGUGUUUGGUAUUUUUACACUAUAAAAUUGGUGUGCAACAAUGGCAAGCACCCACUAUAUCAUUUUUAGUGCAAUAAAAAGAUUAAAAAAAUAUUUCUGCCAAAUUUAGCGCAGAUUUUUGAAGCAGACAUAUGUCCAUUGGGCAGUCUUGUGAGUAAAAAGAGGAGUCAAAUGUACUAUAGUUAAUUAGUAGUAAAAGGAUAGCGACCAGACCACUGCCAAAACCACACAGAGAGAGAGAGUUCUGUCUUUUCCUUAGGUAUCCCUGUUUUUUUUAACUGCUCCUUCCUCCCUUGCAAUCCUCUCUAGUCUCUAAUAAUGGGAGUAUAAUUGUGUUACCUACCACAUGUUUAAGGCCUUUAAUGAAUUGUUAAGUGGAGGAAUUUACAAAAGCAGAAGGUUUAAGCUUGUCUGUCAGUGUCAUUUACUGCUACAUGGACAAAUCUGUUCCUUUGAAAGUUUUAGGCUGGCUCUCUCUCUCUCUCUCUCAAAACUGGGAUUUUGGCAAUAGCACUAUAUUUUGCAAGGAUUUAGAGUUCUGGGUGGUGUGGUAUGGAAAAGAAGGUUCCUGUUUGGUCCAUAAAUGAAUAAUGUGAUGCCAGAACUACUGACAAUUCCACAUGAACUUGCAGGUUUUUUUUUUGGAAGUCAUUCAGUAAGAUUUCAUUAAAGAAGAAAGGGGGAGAGAAGUUCCCCAAUUCAGAAACAGACCUUGGUUGCAGGACAAAACCACAGAUAUUGGAAGAUAUGCUCACUAACUACCAGGUAUAACCCCCAAUAUCCCAUGGCCCGAACAGCCCUGUCAGGCAUCAGUCCCUCCAGAACGAAGAACAGACACCAGGAGAACCCAAAAUCCUCCCAAAAAACCUCACUCCCGCAACAACAGAAAACAUGCAGGAGAAAGAACAAGACCCCAAAAUCAUGUACAAAAACCACCCAACAACAAGUAUCCCCUACAAAGCACCCAGGGGUUGAGCUAAAGACCUAUCUAAAUUCCAUAAGCCUGUACACAUAUGAAUUCCUAAGAACAUAAAAACGUAUCAACCUUUGAAACCUAACUGACCAUCGGUCCAGGAAGACCUCCCUGCAUCAAGACUCAUCUUCAAACAAUAGUUCUGACAGUUCAGCUUUAGCAAACAAUCACACAACAUCAGAAAGACCACAACUCGCCUUAAACAGAAAAAAAAAAGAGAUCAACAGCUUACGUGAAGAUUCUCAAGAUGUCAAACUGAAGGUGAGCACCCUCCUUUGCUAAAGCAUCAGCUCUCUGGUUUGCCUCUCUCUGGCAUGUUGAAUCUCCCAUCCCUCCAAUCCUUCUUUCAAACUCUCCAAUUGUAGAACCACUUUUCUCAUUCUCCACGGAGCCGUAUCGGGAUGAGUCGUCCACUUUACCGUAUUGCCCGAAUUGCUCUCCAUGAGGAGUUUAUAAUUAUCCUUCCAUCUUGAAGCUGAGAAAAUCGUAAACGCUUCCCUCACUGCCAUCAUCUCGGCCCAAUUAGAGUCCGCCUCACCUAUAGCUUUGGAGAAGAUGAUUUUGACUUCCCCUUUAUGAUUCCUCAAGAUCUCUCCGAUACCAGCAGGCCCCGGACAUCCUCUAGCUGUUCCAUCGACGUUGGAUUUCAAUUGCCCCUACAAGUUUUUUUCCCCAUUAAAUUCCCUUCCUUUCCUUACCCUUCUUUGCCUCCUGGCCUUGAGUUGGGGGCUGUCUAUACACAUCAAGCACUGUCGGAUAUUCCCUUGGCCAUUCAGCGUACGCCCAAAAAGCCACCCUAAUCCUAGCCAACUCCAAGACAUGAUCCAUGUUCCAUUCUUUGCCUUGACACACAGUUUCAUUUCUACUUUUCCAAAUAGACCACACAACUGCAAAGAAUCCCAUUCUCCAAAGUGUGACAUCUAACUCUCCCCACUGCCACUUGUUCCACACAACAAACAGGUCCUUUACAUUUGCCGGGAAUACCCACAUCGUGCCCCAUAUCCUGCACCAUCCUGCCCAAAUUUUCCAUGAUUCAUUACAAGUUGCAAAAAAAUGAUCACAAGUUUCCCUAUCAGCAUUACACAAAACACAUUGCAAACUAUUGUUCAAGUUCACUCCCCUUUUAACAAGUUCAUCCAUAACUCUUAUUUUCCCUUGUAGCAUUUGCCACACAAAAACCUCAACUCUAAAAAGUGCUAGGUUAGCCCACACUAUGAACUUGCAGGUUAUAAUUAACCUGAAUCAUGCAAGGUGCCAUCAGAUUCAUUUUACUUUCAAAAAAAACGUCCUGAUAGAUAUGUUACACAUCAUCUGGGUUAAUUAAGUUAAACUAUGGAUUACCAAUAAGAUUCAAAUUUGAUAUUAGUAGCCAUCCAAACCAUAAAACUGGCAUAUUUAUCAAGUAUUGGAAACUGAAUUAAGUUUCUUCUUCUAUACUCAUAUUCAAAUGAUGCAUUUAAGAAAUUAUACACCAUGAUUGAUUCUAACAGGAUUUCAGAUGAUUAAACUUUCAAACGAAUAGGAAAAGAAAGAAGGAAAGAAAGUACAGAAGAAGACGGUGCUGAAAUUACUGCUGAAACUCUUUCAAGUCAAAGUAUUGUUAAGCACAAUCCCAACACCAAAACUCUUUAUAACUAAUUUUGUCACUCACUGCAAUGCCUUUGGCUUUGUUUUCCUCUUGUCUAGUCCUGUUCCGCUCAGAGUUCAUUGUUCAGGUUUAAGUUGUUUCGUACUUCAUCUAAACCAUUUUCUCUCUCUUUUUUUUUUUAACAUCCUGAAUUUUAUAUUUUAUUUUUAUAUCACAAACCUUUUACUUCCUAAAUAAAAAUAUUUCUUCAUCAUAUCUUUUGAAAAGCUUCAUUUCUUUCAUUUAAUCAGGCUAACAAACUGAACUUACAUGGAUUUACAAGCAAAAAAGAGUUGAAAAAAAUCGAUUUUCUUAUGCUAGUCAUGUCAAUCUCAACUUUCUUGAGUAAGAUUGAAAGUAUUAUAUCUGAGUUAACAUGACACCAAGGCUGGGCCAGUGGUCGAAGAGCUUUGUGUUCAUGGUCCAUUGGUGGUUUGCUUUAUUUAUUACUUGCUCAAGAUCCUGUAAUGACUAAUGAGCUUAAUGGCUUGGAAAUUGGUGCCACAGGCCUUAGGGUUGGAGAAGUUAAAUGAAUAACACAGGAAGGGCAAUUUAGGUGAGGCAAGGGCUAACACAAAUACGCAAGUUAGGAUUUAUGCUUUGUGGGUUUUGUGAGGAUGUGCCCUGACACAAUCUGACAACAUAGGGAGGGAUAAGGCCCCUUUUCUCACCUAGGAAUUCCCUACUUCCUCCACUUUGAAUAACCAAGUUUGGUUUGCCCCAAAAAUAUGUGUUAUUCACUUUGAAUAGAACAAGAAUCAAGAGUUGGAUGGCAAGAAAUGAAAUAAGUCAAUAAAUAACAACUGUGCUUUCUGUGUUGCAGGGAGUGGAAGAGUUGCCUUUUUUUUUAAUCUUCGUUUUCCCUUCUUUAACCAUUUGGACUUGAGGACAGAAUAAGAAUAUGAGAGAGUUAAAAAUCUUGGGACAACCUCAACCUGACUGCAAAUGUCCUGUACUACUAUUGAACAACCACUACGUUGUUGGACAUGGAUGGUUGGGCUUACUCUCCAAUUUCCACCAGACAGGUGGACGACCUGAACAGACAAUAAUCCCUGCUAGAUUCUGGAUUAGGAAACCUGAAAUAUGGAGUUGUUCCAGACUAGUUUCAUUCCGGGUGAUGUAAUGACCUCCACCACCACACCCAAUCUGACAUCAAUAUAGAAUUCCAACACUGUUAACAGUUGUGAAGCAGGUAUGCCAGGUUUCUACAGAAUCUUGAUGGAAGCUUGAGAAGCCUAACAUUCAAUUUAUUUAGUAGUACUUGAAAAGUAUCCUUCCUUAGAGGUACAAGAUGGGCUGUUUGUUUCCUUUAUGCAAUGAAUUUUCCUGGUUACCUCCAAAAGAUUUUGAUAUGGAUACAGCAAUUCUUUUCUAAAUGCACAAGGAACAAUUUCCAGAGUCCUGUUUCCCAGAAUUAAAGAAGACUAUCAGAGAAAUGGAUAAACGAAAAGGUUACACGAUAAAAACAUAAGGGGAGGAAAAGAUCAACCAAGUAGACUAGGGGCCGGGGGAUUUCACCAAUGUUUGAUAUGUCGGCCAUUUGUCUUACUAGAGCCCGGCACGAGAUAAUUCCACAUUGAACACCAAUUGCACCAUUACCUCGCUACGGACAUAUAAUCACCAUGAAAUAAUUGCUUCCAACACUGUUGUCCAUUUGCCCCUUUACACAACCGAAACUGUCCGCCACGUUAGAAUCAGUAAAGAUGUUAAUAUGUUGGUAUUAUGUGAGAGUGAAAAGCAAACAGGAAUGUGAAAUAUAUUCUGCACAUUGUGGGAUUCACAACAUCAAAGAGACAAAUGCACCAACUGAAGAACAAAAGGAGACUAUUAUAUAAAGACUAAGAAAACUAUCCCAGGAAAUCUAUAACAUACUUAAAAGGAAGCCCCAAAGGGGCUUCCUCUUCUAGCCACGUGGAGGGCAUAGGAAAAAAGAGAAAAAAAAAAGAAAAAAUAAGGUAGGAAGAGAAAGGAAAAAACAGAUAGAAAGAAGCCCGUGUGCAACGCACAGGCUAUAAUCUAGUAAACUAUAAUAGUCGUCACCUCGUACUCUUCUCUAGUUCUGUUUAGGGGUUUUUUUCUCUGGCACAGAGGCUAAAUGCAGGUAUUAGUUUCCAGUUAAAAGUUACAGUGUACAUUAAAGAAUUGAAGGCUUGCUCCUCUUCUCGCUUUCGGAAGCUACCUCGUAUUCACAUAAGAGAAUGAUACAACAAAGCAAAACAUGCGAUACGACGUGAUCAGGUACUGCCAGCUUCUGUUGGCGUGGUACAAGGAGCCAGUAUAUUAGGAGGCAAGUUAACUCCUCCCCCUCUAACAGAUAGAUUAGGAGCCUUAACUGAGCUAGCCCUGCUCACCUGGUUUGAGUCAAGAAACACCACAAUUACUGUAAUGUCAUCAUGGAAAUGCCGCCGGACACCACGAUCAAUCUUCUUCAAGUCAGAAUACCUCAUUUCUCUCUUCUUUGCUGCUUCUUGUAGAGCAGUUUUUACAAGCCUCCUUGCAAUUCCCUGCAUGAAGUCCACAACAAAAUGUUAAUUUUCUCCUCUUUUAGAACCCUGUUUUAAGAUUAACUUCACAUCAUCAAUAAAAUGCAAAUGCAACAAUAUAUCUAUAAAUGAAUUUAUAACUCAAAAUCAUACAAGGAAAAUGAAAUAAACAAAUAUUACAUGACAAACAGAACCUUGUUCCUGCCCCCUCUACACAACUACAAAUGCAUGAGCAUGCGUGUGUGUGCUACAUGUGUGUGAGUAAAUUGUCCCAUGUGUAUGCAUGCAGUAAAAACCACUCAAAAGAAAAGGCACACUGUUCAUAACAGAGCAUAUUGCCUUUCAUAAUUGGUCUAGAUUGAAUAAAAUGUGAACUAGAAAGUCGUGUUCAUACUGGUUGACUUGUUCUAGUUGAGCUAUUUGGCUUAUGAAUUAAAGUGGUAAUUGUCAAGCAGCAGUAAUAGGAUGGAAAAUUGAACAAGCAGUCAUGGCACUUCAAGUUAUACGCCAUAGCUCACACAACAAAAGGAAAGGUUCCCAAGAUAACUAAUUAAAGCUUCAUUAAAAACUAGAACUCCAAAAUCUAUUAUCGGUGACCAACAAGAAAAGCUUUCAUACUCUAACCAAAUGAAAAUGUCAGCAGCAUAGGAGAAAAGAAUACUGUUCAUAAUAAGAUUAACAAUAUUUGACAUUCAGGCAUAAACUUACACUUCGUGGGUGAUUUUGAACUAUAUCAACAGCUUCUUGAUUGCUUAGGUGCUCCCAGAGCCCAUCAGAUGCAAAUAUCACGAAUUGAUCAUGUGGCUGCAGCUGGUGCACUGAUAUCGAUGGGUCCGCACUCAAUAUUGGCUUUUUGAAAGGUUCCCGAAGCCGAAAUUUGGGAUAUAAAGGCUCCCUGUUGAACUCAGCUUUUUUUAAAUAUACAUCACCGAUAGAUCUAGAAACCUGAAAGGCCAAGAAUUCCAUUAAUAAACUCUCACAAAGAGUAAGAGGCAGCAGAACAAACCAUGGAAAACCAUAGCAAGGAAAUUAUAAUCUUGCACUGCUGGACAAAUUGCAUGCACUUGUUAAAUGUACUAAACCUCUCUAUCUCUCAUUUGGGGGAACAAGGGGUUGUUUUUAGUAAUCUUAUCACAGAUAGAAUUAAGACACUGCACACAUUCUGGUCUAGUUCAAGGUUUGACAAAAAGUAUAGCAGUUGUAGCAGGAAAUUUGCACAGAAAGGAGAAUUGCCCAUUGCAGCAAUAGAAUCUCUUCACAUAUGAAAUCCAAGAAAUAGUCAUGCUUCUAGGUUCACAAUAUUUUUGAGAAGCUUUACAAUAUUUAUAAGGAUUCUGAUUGACAAAUGAGCACUUGCUGGGAAGUUUCUCAACCAAUUGACUAAGCAUCAGAAACCAGUUUAAACCAUCACUCAGAAUUUUUACUUAUAAUUCAUUCUCUCUUUAAAACCUGGCAAUCAUAUAACUGUAAAACACGGGGUAAUUAAAACCUAGCACGUCAGGAUAUUUCCUUUCGCCAAUCCUCUUUGGAAACAAAGCUCAUAUACCUGUACAGAGCUGAAAAGUCGUACAGCUAAAGUGAUUCCCUAAUAAAGCCUAAAGUACAAAAGUAACCAACUCCAGGAUCACCACUAAGCUUAUUAGUUCCAGACCUGGAAUAUAUGGAUAAGUGUUAUCCAUGGAUGACCAUCAAAUCACUUUCUUGCAAGAGAUCAACAUACAAUCCAACAAAAUUUUUAGAUUCCAUCAUUUUAUGCAACAGUAAAUUAUGCUAUUUUAUCCCUUUCCAUCAACUUUGAUAAUUACUAAGUUCUCUCAUAGUCAAAGAUUUUUCUUAUUUCCCUUUCUCUUUUGGCUUUGCAGAUACAUCCAUGCAUCCAACUGAAUAAUCGGCAUCCUUCCCCUCCUCAGCUCCACACUAUCUUUACCACAUGGGAGGAGAAGAUACCAUGCAGCUGAUAUAUCUAUUUCUUUCUAACAAAUUAAACCCCUUUUUUCUCCGGAAAACUGUCCUUGGAAAUGUAACCAUAUAAAUACAUCUUCACUCCAAAAACAUUAAAGACCUGUUUUCAGUUUUCACUUUUCAAAAAGUAAGCACAAGUGGAUAAAACAUUGCCCCAGGUUCAUGCCUUACUUUAAGAGUUUAUUACAAAUCAAGCUAGCUAAAACAAACUUUCAAAUAUUCAGAAUUCAUAAACAGCAUGCUCUAUAGUGCUCAACUUGGACAAGAACUGGUUCAAGCUCUCUAUGCGUCUUGCAGCACAGAUGAAUAAAAUUAGUACUUGCUCCUUUUUUGCAAAUGGCUAUUCUUGUAAACAAAGGUGAUUUAAGCCACAAGUAGAAGCAAGUUUCAAUGUCACCGCUACGCAAAAGCAUCAAUGUUUAAAAAUGGCGACAUUAAUUAGUCAUCUUAGCAGUUAAGUAACUAUUAAAAUUAAAAAUUGUUUGCAUAGUGAAACUUACCUGUAUGAGACCUUUUACACGCCAUACAUUGUACUUCAAAACUACAAUUUGUGGGUCAUCAGGGUGCAAUGACUGCAGCUCCUGCCUUACAGACUCUAUGCAGACAUUAUGCUCAGCCGACAGCUGAACAGCUAGUACCUCUCCUGUUGCCUUCACAGCUCUCCCCAAAACAGCACGCGAAUCACCAAGGUUGGCAACAUAAAGGGUUCCACCACAGAUAACACCAACCAGGCAGCAGGAUCCAACAGCAGCAAUUUGUGGUUUCAUAGGCCACUGUUUGGAAACGAGAGACAAGAAACCUUCUUCUGUUGCUUGAUAUGCUUUUCGUAUCACGUCAACUGACAUUGUCUGUUGCUCUGAAGUGAACCCUGAACAUAGAGAAUAUUUCAGAAUAACAAACACCACCGAUGGCAAAGUGCAUGAAGGAAAGAGAGAACAAGUAGAGAUAACUCUUAUGUUUGCAAUUUUAUUUCUUUCUUUUAGUAUUAUAUACCAGGCUCUACAGCUACCAAUCGGAAUUGACACACAAAACAACAAAAGUGAUAACAAGGAACUGAUAACUUUUUGGACUCAAAACAACAAACCCUUAACUGCGGCUGCAGCAAGUUCACUACACUAAUUAGUUUUAAACAAUUAAUUAUAUCCAAAACAAUUGCUUAUUUAAUACUUCUUUCCUCUACUUCCUUAAUCAGUAAAUAGACGGCAACAAAAACUAAACCCUAGCAAAGGCAAAAGUACUUACUCUUGAGAUGUUGAAAGAGAUGAUCAUUGACGUAGCGCGAAGUCUCUGGGCCCCCAUGCCCAUCAUAAACGCCAAUAAAAGUACCAUAGGGACCUGACUCAUGUGAACUCAAACAACCGGACUCAAGCUGGCUCUGGUCCUCGAGUAAAUUGUUGGCCUGAACCACUGCCAUUGAGAACUCACCAUUAAAGUGCUGCCCUGUGUCCUUGUACCACAAAAGCCCAUCUUGGCGACCUCCAGCAUCCGAACUUGUGUGAACGUAUCGAUCUGACCUUGGCCGAAAACAGGCCCUCAAAAAGUUCAUCAACCCAGAUAACAUCCCUCAUCUCAUCCAAAAACCCCUCCUAAUUCUCCACAUCUAAAUAACCACUGAAUAUAAACUAUACCCUAGAAGUCUGAACAGUGAACCGUAUCCUCUGCUUCUCAACACAAUAAUUGUACACUACACCAACAUCAGCAACAAAGCACACCAAAAGGUUAGCAAUAGUGCAAUUUGCGAUAAAGGCUCAAAAGCAACUAAACCAAGAAAACGACAACUACAAAUUAUAUCUUCCACUACUCCUCAAGGGGCCAUUAACAGCAUCAAUCAGAAAGUACAAUAAAUUUGAUAAAUAUAUAAUGAAUAACUAGCAGAUCAAAUAAAUGAUGUACUAGAAACCACCUCUCUCAGUUUGUUUUAGUUAUUAAGAUUAAGCUCAAACAACGGAAACUGCUCCCUCUUUAAACAAGAAAGCCAUGACCAUAACAGCUCCUUAUGCUGAAAAAAUCAACAAAACACAAAGGAGGGGUUUUUGAAAACGACGGAAUUGGUCAAAGCUCACUUUUUCUUUCUUUUUUUCUAACAAAGUAGUCGGUCAGCCAUUAGGAAAUCCAGAAGGUCUAAUGUUUCACAUUGAGAACUUUAAACAGCCCAGUUUCAGACAUCCCUUUAGACCCAAUAAGCAUCAUAAUUCAACUUGUAUUUCCCACACUAAAUAUUAAAAAAAGAAGAAGAAGAAGAAGCUGACCUUUCUAUUUGACCCCUUUGGUUUAUAAUUGAAAAGGAGGAUCUGGAAAUAGGAAAGGAAAAAACUUCAUCUGGGCAUGAAAUUGGAAUUAGCAGAUCUAUGGAUCAAUCAAAUCAAAGCAAGAGAAAAAACAAAGUUUGGAAUUUGGUUGGCUUCAACUAGUGAUGAGAAAAUUGAAGAAGAUGAAGGAGGAAAGCAUAUAAUAGAGAAAUGGAUGAGUUUUUUUUUUUCUUUUUUCUUCAACAAAAGGAGAAGUCUUUUUAUGUGAAAGAUUUUGGCUUUGGCCCCAACAACUUAUAAAAACUCUCUUUCUCUCUCCUUUCCAUCUUGCUUUUCUAUCUCUCUUGUUUCUCCCUCCAAUUCUCAGCAGACAAGACCCAUAAAAGACCAACAAUGGAGAGUUUAAAGCCAGCAAAGCAAAGGUCCAGUUUUGGGCUCCACACCACUAUGGUAAUAGAGAGAGAAGAAAUUUAAAAAAAAAAAGAGAGAGAGAGGGGAGAGNNNNNNNNNNNNNNNNNNNNNNNNNNNNNNNNNNNNNNNNNNNNNNNNNNNNNNNNNNNNNNNNNNNNNNNNNNNNNNNNNNNNNNNNNNNNNNNNNNNNNNNNNNNNNNNNNNNNNNNNNNNNNNNNNNNNNNNNNNNNNNNNNNNNNNNNNNNNNNNNNNNNNNNNNNNNNNNNNNNNNNNNNNNNNNNNNNNNNNNNNNNNNNNNNNNNNNNNNNNNNNNNNNNNNNNNNNNNNNNNNNNNNNNNNNNNNNNNNNNNNNNNNNNNNNNNNNNNNNNNNNNNNNNNNNNNNNNNNNNNNNNNNNNNNNNNNNNNNNNNNNNNNNNNNNNNNNNNNNNNNNNNNNNNNNNNGGCCAAAACACUAAAGUAUAUGGAAGUAGACUUUCGAGUCUUUCAACAUCUCACUUUUCAAAAUUAAGCCCAAUUUCUUUUAAUUCCUACAAAAAAUAUAAAAACUACUAAAUAAUAACCAAAUUAAAAAGAAUAAUAUAAAAUUGAAAUAAAUCACUAAAAAAUAAACUAAUUAUAAUAAAAUAACAAAAAAUAAAUAAAUUAUAAAAAAUAUAAAAAUUUAAUAAAAUAAUAAAAAUAAUAAUAAUUAAUAAUUAAUAAUUACAAAAUAUAAUAUAAUAUAAUUAUAUUGAUUUUGAAUUUUAACCACGUUAACGGGAUACGAAAUAACAAAGUCAAACCUCGCUAGCUUCACUGUCAAAACUCAAAACCGGUUUCUGUUUGUCUACAGAUUCGAUCAAGGAAGUUCGGAGAAAAGGGCCAAUAGCAUGCGUAGAAUGUUGAAAUAUGAGGGUAUUUUCGUCAUUAAGCAUGACGGUGGAUGAGUUUUGGGUGACUUGCUCGUUUAACUAACUGUUGGGUAAAGCAAUUCAUGAAAUUCAGAGCCUUUUUUAGUGAAAUGGAUUUUUUAAAUUGUCAAUUUUAGAAAGAUUUAAUUUUUUCUCUACAUCAAUUCAUUUUGGUGGAAAAUGUUCAAACUUACUUUACUUACUAUUCCUUCCAUCUUUCUUUUUUUCAAUCUUUCUUUUUUAAAAUAUCCGUAAAUAAAUUCUUCAUUAGAUAUUUAAUAUUUUUUUUCUUUCAUAUUAAAAAAGUAUUUAACAUCAUUAUAAUAAGAUUUUUAAAUUUUUAAUAUAAAAUAUAUUAAAAUUAAAGCUUUAAUCUUAAUUUUCGUACAAAUUUCUUUUUUUCAUCACGACAAGUUAUCUUAUCUCAUCAAAUUUGAAAAUCGGUUCACCUCAAAUUUGUUUGCUACUUUGCUUUUUUUUUUUUAUAAAACAUCAAAUAAAUUGGAAAAAAAUGUCAAACAUGAGAUGUUUUGCUUUAAUGGUACUUGGUUUAAAAAAAGUUAUCUUAAGUUUGCAUUCCUUCACAAGAAAAAUAGUAUGCUAAGACAUUGAAAUUCAUAGUAAUAUGCAUUUUAAACUAAUACAUUAAUCAUGAUAAUAAUGAUUAUUUAAAAAAGAAUAAUCAAUAUUCAAAAAAUUUAUUAUUUUUAUAUUAUUUAUGAAUAUUUACUCAGAUUAUUCAACUAUCAAGUAAAAUAACAUAAUCUUGCUUCUAACUCAUAAUUUAGUGAAAGUUUUAUCACAAGAAAAUAAUUAUUUUAAGUUUUUUAUUAUUUUUUAGAAGAAAAAUAAUGUGUUAAGAUAUCAAGAUUAUUAGACUAUACAAUUAGGUUUUACAUUUUAAAUUAUUACAUUCAAUAAGAUUACGUGUGUCACAUAUCUCACAUAAAUAAGAAAUGAGAUAGAUUUUAGAUUUAUAACAUCACUUAUCGGUAUAUUUUUUGAAUUAAAAAUAUAGGUUCGUGAUUUAUAAACUUACUUAAACUCUAUUUUCAAAGCUUAGGGUUAUACAAGAUUAGGCUUAAGUUUCAACUCGUGAAAACGCAUAUAAUCAUGAUAACAAUUAUUUAUUUUAAAAAUAAUUAUAAAUAUUCACAAAAAAAUAGUUAUUCCUUCUAUAUCAUUUAUGAGUAUAUAUUUAGAUUAAUCUAUUAUCGUACAACAUAAUAAUUUGGUGAAAUUUUUACAAUAAAAAAUAUAACCCUUGAAUAUUUUCUAGGAUUUUUUUUAUUUUAAAUAUUUUAAAAUAAAAAAAAGGUGUGAGGUAAUGAACCUGUCAAACUCAAGAUGUGGAAAAAAAGGUAAAAAAGUGCAACAUUAAAUGAAAAACAUAUUUAUUUAUUUGUUUAUGUGAUGAUGUAAAGUGACAGGUGGCAGCGAUGUCCAUCUUAGAAAAAUAUGGUUUCCAAUUUCAAAUUCAAUAAUGAAGUCUUCGAGAAUGUUAGAAAUUAUGGAAAUUCUUGUAUUUAACGUAUACGUUAGCAGCCAGCCAUUAUAUUAAAAAGGUGUAACAAUUUGAAAACUUCCAAGUUCUUUCGGUCUUGGAUUAAAUUUGGGGGAAUUAAUAAAAUUGUAUGGAUUUUCAUUUUUCAAGCCUAGACGUCCAACUCAAACACGUGUAGAAUGAAGAUUAAGAUUGUUUAAAACGUAAAAGGAAGUAUAAAUGCUACUUACACUUUUUAUUAUUUUAAUUUUUUGUACACAACAUUUUAUAAUUUUUUUAAUUAGCACGUGUAGAUUUUUUUCAAUAAUAUUUUUUGAAUAAUUUCUAUUCUUAUAAAGAAUUAGGUUAAUAAUUUUAUCUCAUAAAAUUACCCAAAUACUAUCGGUUCAAAGUUAGCCUAUUUGUUCAAAUUUAAAUAUAUUUUUAUAAUUUUACUAUGUAAAAUUAAUAAUCUAGUUUUUUCUGAGAACAAAAAUUAUCCACAUAGGAUGUUAAUUAAAAAAAACUUACAGUUAUUUGAGAAAAAUUAAAAUUGUAAAAAAUAUAGAUAAAAUUUCUUUAAAGAGAUAAAAAAAAUUCAUAAAGUGCUAAUAGGGAAAAAAGAAGUCAUAGAAUGCUAUUUGAAAAGAAAAUAAAAUUACAAAAAAAUUAUUGGUAAAUUUUACUGAAAGGGGAAAAGGAAGGCAAAAAUUAAGAUGAAUUUUUCAAGGGUGAGUUUUAAUGCUAAGGGGAAUUCCAUAUACGAUUGGCAUAAAAAGAAUGGUUUGGACUUUAGACAGGCUCUCAAGGAAUCUUAAAUGGUGAAUCUAAUCCUACUCCAUCCAUCCAUAGUGGGAUACUUUAUUUUCCUUGAACCCCAUUAUGCUAUGCACCAUAGUUUCAAUAUCAAGCCACACCAUUUCAGAUAUUUCUUUUCUCCAAAGAGAAUUUGUGUCAAUCAUCAAGCAUAUAUCAAGAUAAUUUGGUCCAUCAGGAUUUAGUCACACCCAUCAAUGUCCUUCGCUUCAAUCUUGAAAUUCGCAGCAUCUAAGAGAACAUUUUCCAUAAAAAUGAAGCCACGGCUAUCAGUGGAAAAGCAAUGCGAUCAGCUAGAGAAAUAGCGUGUGCUAACGUGCGCAUGCAUUAGGCACUAUCAGAGGAAGAUGGUGGAUUAUCAGUAUUUUGGGGUAAAUUUGAUAGGACGCAUUAUCCACCCAAGUGUGCCAUGUUUGGUCUCCGAUGGUGGGAAACAGUGUUGGGUCCAUUUCCUAGGUCACUCUUUAUUCUCUUUAGUGGAUUGGUGCACCUUUAGCUGGGGCUAACCUGUGCCAGGAAUUGCCCACAUUUAUUUUUCCAUUCGAUAAGCUAAUUAUGGCUCAAUCACUUGUAGUCAACAGAGAUGCGUCUUGGUUUUUCCUCACCAGGUUUUUACUCUCUUUCAGGUUAAUUAGACUUAGCAUCUGAAUAUUAUCAUUUCAAUAUAUAUAUAUAUAUAUAUAAAUGUUUUGUAACGACAAACUCUUAUAAGAACUCGUUUGUGAUUAGAUUCUAUCACAAUCUUCAAGCUUAAAAUUACAUAUAAAGAUAGAAACAAGGACAAAGAGAGGACCACAAGGUCCAGAACAGAUAGAAUAAACAUUUCUCUGCAUCAUAUUUACACAGUUGUGUGAAGUGCACGUAAACUGUUGACAGAGAAGAGAAAAGUGUUUUGUUUCAUCUGUGAUGGCGUUAGGAAACCUCCUUAUGUUUUUGUUAUCAGUGAAGGUUUUAAGAAAAAGGGGGGGGGGGGGGGGGAANNNNNNNNNNNNNNNNNNNNNNNNNNNNNNNNNNNNNNNNNNNNNNNNNNNNNNNNNNNNNNNNNNNNNNNNNNNNNNNNNNNNNNNNNNNNNNNNNNNNNNNNNNNNNNNNNNNNNNNNNNNNNNNNNNNNNNNNNNNNNNNNNNNNNNNNNNNNNNNNNNNNNNNNNNNNNNNNNNNNNNNNNNNNNNNNNNNNNNNNNNNNNNNNNNNNNNNNNNNNNNNNNNNNNNNNNNNNNNNNNNNNNNNNNNNNNNNNNNNNNNNNNNNNNNNNNNNNNNNNNNNNNNNNNNNNNNNNNNNNNNNNNNNNNNNNNNNNNNNNNNNNNNNNNNNNNNNNNNNNNNNNNNNNNNNNNNNNNNNNNNNNNNNNNNNNNNNNNNNNNNNNNNNNNNNNNNNNNNNNNNNNNNNNNNNNNNNNNNNNNNNNNNNNNNNNNNNNNNNNNNNNNNNNNNNNNNNNNNNNNNNNNNNNNNNNNNNNNNNNNNNNNNNNNNNNNNNNNNNNNNNNNNNNNNNNNNNNNNNNNNNNNNNNNNNNNNNNNNNNNNNNNNNNNNNNNNNNNNNNNNNNNNNNNNNNNNNNNNNNNNNNNNNNNNNNNNNNNNNNNNNNNNNNNNNNNNNNNNNNNNNNNNNNNNNNNNNNNNNNNNNNNNNNNNNNNNNNNNNNNNNNNNNNNNNNNNNNNNNNNNNNNNNNNNNNNNNNNNNNNNNNNNNNNNNNNNNNNNNNNNNNNNNNNNNNNNNNNNNNNNNNNNNNNNNNNNNNNNNNNNNNNNNNNNNNNNNNNNNNNNNNNNNNNNNNNNNNNNNNNNNNNNNNNNNNNNNNNNNNNNNNNNNNNNNNNNNNNNNNNNNNNNNNNNNNNNNNNNNNNNNNNNNNNNNNNNNNNNNNNNNNNNNNNNNNNNNNNNNNNNNNNNNNNNNNNNNNNNNNNNNNNNNNNNNNNNNNNNNNNNNNNNNNNNNNNNNNNNNNNNNNNNNNNNNNNNNNNNNNNNNNNNNNNNNNNNNNNNNNNNNNNNNNNNNNNNNNNNNNNNNNNNNNNNNNNNNNNNNNNNNNNNNNNNNNNNNNNNNNNNNNNNNNNNNNNNNNNNNNNNNNNNNNNNNNNNNNNNNNNNNNNNNNNNNNNNNNNNNNNNNNNNNNNNNNNNNNNNNNNNNNNNNNNNNNNNNNNNNNNNNNNNNNNNNNNNNNNNNNNNNNNNNNNNNNNNNNNNNNNNNNNNNNNNNNNNNNNNNNNNNNNNUAUUAUAUAGAAAUAUAUAUUAUAUAUAUAUAUAUUAUAUAUAUUAUAUAUAAAUAGAAACAGGAAAGCACAUCAUUCGUGCAAUCAUGUUCACAAUGCCUUAUCUCUCCAACUACCGGAAAGAUCGACAAUUCGGAUAAUGUUGUUCAAACUCUAAUUCUACGUAAAAAAGUCAUGUCUCAAACUCUCAAAAGCUGAAAACAAUGUACUUAGUCUACGUUCUGUAACAUUAAUGCCGUGGACCAUCUCUCUCUUCCUUGGCAAGGAAUAUGGACAAAAAAUUAAUUUUUUUAAUUAUAUAUAAUUAAAAAAUUAAUAAAUUCUGAUAUCACUUAUUACAAAUUCACAAUUUAAAUCCAAUUAAGUGAAAGUAAAUCUUUAUUUAUAAACUUAAAAUUUAUCUUAUUUCGUACUGAAGUACGAUCUGUGACAUUUCAUCUCAUUUAAUUACGCAAAAUCAUUCUUAUAUUAAUUUUUUUACUUGUAAAAGAGAAUAACUCAUUUUAAUUCAAAUUUAUCUCAAUCUUAUAUAUGUAUAUAAUAGUUUAAAUUAUAAAAUUUGACUUGAGAACUAGUACUUGUUUGUUUCCCUUUGAGUCUUCUUGGAUAUUCAAAGUUCAAUGAAAGAAAAGUAAGCUUCAAAUUAGUAAAAGCCUUCCUCGGAAAGAAUUUGAUGUAAAAACAAUUUGGAUUUGUAGUUUCUACUUGGGGAGCUUGGCUUUUGGUGUUAAUUGAUUAUUGCAUUUUCCCCUUCUGUUUCAAUCGUUUUGACCACUGACUUGGAAUUAUGGACUCUUUUUCCAAGUGCCACUGACCACUAACUUGGAAUUCCAACAUGAAGUUCCUUUUCAAGUGGAUGAAUUCCUUAUUGAUGAAGGCUAUGCUUUAAUUUUAUAAUUCACAUAUAUAAUCAGUAACUAGUGGAGUCAAGAUUUUAAGUUUGAGGAGGUAAAAAUAAAAAAUUUAAUAUUUAGAGAGAUGAAAUUAUAAAUUUUUUUUUAAAAAAUAAAGAUAAAAUUAUAAAAUUUUUAAAAACAAAACAAAAACAAAAAUUAUAAAUUUUUGAAAUUUUAGGUGGACAAAAACAAAAAGUUCAACAUUUAGAGGGAUGAAAUUAUAACAAAUUUUUUAAAAAUAAAAGUAAAAUUUAAAAAUUUAAAAACUAAACAAAGACAAAAUUAUAAAUUUUUGAAACUUUAGAGGGGGCGGAGCCCUUACUAACCCCCUCCCUCUGCCCAUGUAAUCCGCCAAAUUCAAAAAUUAAUAUUCUUCAUAUUUCGGUUUAGUUUCAAAUUUUAGAUUUUUUUUUGAAGAAUUUUUAGAUUAGAAACAGUGGCUCAAAUCUGAAAAAUAUUAUUUUAAUUCAAUUAUAUGAUUUUAUCUUUUAGUUAAUUAAUAUUCGUUUUUUCAUAAUAUCUUUUCGAGAAAUAAAAAAAAAUAAACAGUAAAAAUAUAACAAUCAAACAGAAGCAUCUCUUAUGAUUAUUGUUGAUUCCGUAUACAUCAAAACGACAAAAUUUUGUAUUUGUGAUUUUGCAUCACAGUUACCAUUGACUUGGAAGAUAUAUGAAGAUCAUUUUCGAAAGAAACAAGCCCUAGUUAAGUGCUGCCAUUGAACAAUUGCCGAAAGCAAUGUUUUGAGGCCUUUUCCAUGUGAAAGAUGAACAGCCUGUCCUCACGGCUGUUGGUGAUGUGUGCUAUGAUGCAUGUAUGCAAAGAUUUAUGGAAUUUGAACAAAAAUAAUUGGAAAUUCCAUUAUUUUAAUUAUCAUCCUACAUUAAUAGGAUGAAUGGUCGAUUUCAUAUAAAUUAAUUAACGCAUUGCAUGACAUUUGGAAUCACCCGGAUUCGAAACUGACAUUCGAAGAUGUGAUGAAUCUAAAGAGGGGUCCCCUGUUAUUUGAAAAUUUGAAAAUUUGAAAUACUUAAUUUCUGGUGAUUAAACUCCUACCUUUCAUUGUCAGCAAUUUUGGGUAUCUAUACAGUGAUUUAAAAAAUAUAUACCUAUUGGCGUUGUAAACUAAGUAAUUUUAUAUAGGUAUCGUAUUUUAAAAAAAAUUUUGACAACAAAAUUUAAAUAAAUUUUCAUUUUUUUAUUAUAUUUAUUUAAGUUAAUAUAUUUUUAGCUUGAAUUAAAUAAAUCAUUAUAAUUAACGAUUGACUAAAUGAUGUUAAUUAAAAUGACGCAUGUUUGUUUUAUGUUACGUGACAUGUUGACUUGUUUUAAUGGAUUAUGAUGUGACAUGAUAUGAUCAUGUGGUAAUUUCAUUCUAAAUUAUGACAAGUCAACAUGCCAUGUCAAUACUCAGUAAGUAUAAAAUGACAUUUGUCAUUUUGACUACAGUAAUUAGUCAACUAUUAGUUGUAACGGUUUGUUUGAUUAAAAUAAAAAUAUAUGGAUUUGAUUAAACUUAAUAAAAAUUUAUUUAAAUUUUUUUAAAUAAUUUAAAAAUUUUAAAAAUAUCAUAUAUAUAUAUAUAUAUAUACAUACACUAAUUUUACAACGUAUAUAUUUUUUAAAAAAGUGUAUAGAUACUCCAAAUUGGUGACAUUAAUGAAAAGCUAGGAGUUUAAUUACCAAAAAUUAAUAAAGUCUUGAAUUAAUUAUAUAUAUACAAUAAAAUAUUUAUAAAUUAAUACCCUUGGAUAAUGAAAUUUAUUAAUUAAUUGAUAUAUUAUUCAAUCGAUAAAUUAAUUAUUUAUUAAUUUAUACAUUAAUUAAUAAAAAAUAAUUUAUCAAUGUAUUCUUUUUUUUUCUAAAACAUUGAACUUAACACAUGUAUUGUGUAUUAUGAUUUUUUUCUCUUUCAAAAAUAAUGAAUAUUAUCUAAUUAUUUAAUUAUGAAUUAUCAUUAUUCGUAACGAUUAAAUUAUUAAGAACGUCAUGAACAAUGAUACAAAAAUGAAAUUGAAGACGAUAGUUUUGUACUAAAGUCUGUCUCAAGCAAAGACGCAUUUAAAACAACAAUUACAUUACAUAAUUUUUUUUUUUACAAUAUGAGAACACUAUGCCAAAGCUUCUUAAUUUAUUAUGAAAAGUUAGAAAUGAGAUCUAAGGAGACAUCAAUUUCAAAAAGAAAUAAGUAAAUUGAAAUCAUAUUUUACAAAAACUUUCUAAUUGAGUCAUGUAUAUAUAUAAUUUUGAUGUAUAAAGAGAUUAUUAAUUUAUAUAUAAAGUGAGACCUAUGUAUUUUUUUUUAAAAAUAUAUUAUCUUAUAAAGUUAAUGAAUUAUUAAUUUAUCAUGUUGGUCUUAAAUUGAGAUUGAUUAAAAUAUUAUUUAAUAAAAGUUAUUAAUUUAUAAACAUUUUAUUGUAUAUGCACUCGAGUAUUUAGUUCAGUGAUUGAUGUAUAAUCUCCUUACUUUAAAAGUAAAAUUUUAAUCUCCUCUCUCCCAAUUAUAAAAAAAAAACAUUUUAUUGUAUACAUAUAACCAAUCCUCGAAUUUAAUUAAAAAAAUGAAAUAUUGUUUCAACUUUAAACAAUCAAUAAGAAUCGACAGAUGAACCAAAAAAAUCUACACAUACACAUACAUGUUUAGAUACAUGAGCGUGAUUUAAAUCAUAUAUAGUUACUACUGUUUAGGUAUUUUUCAAAGUCACUUCAAGAACAAAAAAAUAAGCAAAAUUUUAUAAAAAAAAGUUAUAAAUUGAUAAAUUAAUCAGAUUUUGUUUAAAUGUUACAAUUACAACAAUCUUUCUCCUCCAAAGGGGAUCUUGGCUUGUUCCUAUGAAAAUAUAAGUACAUAAAUUACAAGCGAUACAAACUUUCUGUUGAUCUUCUGUCAUAUGAAAAUAUAGUUCAUUAUAUGACUGCCGACUGUUAAUUAUGUUGAAUGGUGGUCUUUUUUCUUCAAAGAAACAAGACUAGGAUAUAUAGGCCCGCGCAUGGUUCCCUCGAGUUGCUUUCAGACUUGAAUGCUUUUCUUUCUAUUGGCAGGCAUGGCAUCCAACUAGGCUUGUGGGUAUAAUUUUUUAGCCCUACACGUACCUCUUCAAUUUAAAUAUUCGAUCCUUGGAACUUGGAAGAGAUGGGGCAGCAAAGGGUAACCAAAAAUGUUUUUUAUUGAAUAUUAGAACCAACAAAUAUAUCAAUAAAAUCAUCAGAGAGAAAGCAAUGCAACUCGAAUUUAAGAUAUUUAUUCAAAUCUCGCCUCGUUUUAUUAUUUAAACGAGACUUCAAGUGAUUAUAAUCAAUCAAUUUAAUGUUAAAAUAUAUUUGUGUAUGACAGAGACAAGGUGAACCCAACGCACACUUCUUCACAUUGAAUCAGACUAUGUAGAAAAAGUUAAGCAAUUGGUGGGUGUGAUUAUUGCAAUUUAAUGAAAAUUGAAGGUUUAAAACUGAAACGUAACUUUCCCAACAAGAAAAAACCUAGCUCAAAAAGUCAAUAUCAUGGUGUAGAAACAAUAAUUAUACACACAGUCUGAAUUAGGUUAAUUUUACAUCAUGUUUGACCCCAUGACUUUGAAUAAAUACACUAUUUAGGUACCUCCCUUGGAUAGUUAUGUUCCUGUUCCGCAGCUGAUUUUGGGUUAAACAAACUGAAUCUUAUCCACAUUCUGAACCACAUUCAAUAGGGAAUCAUAUGCACCAUUUUAUCUCUUUUCCCCUGCCUGUUUCAUGCUUCAUUGGUUCAAACUUUCCUUCCCACUACUAACAUCUAUUUUUCCUACUAAACCCCUUUAUUUCUAUCAAAACUUUGGUCUAACAAUCGAUGUACGAUUAAUAAGUUUCGGACUGUUUCUUUCUCGAAUAAAAAAAAAAAGUCUCUUUAUUCAUCAAGUUUGUCCAAUCAUAUUUUAAAUUUUCGCUCCACUCGCUUUCAAUAUUUUCUUUUCUUGACUCACAUCUAUUAAAAUCAAAGACUCAAAUCCAUGGAUUACGCGGAUUCAAUUCCUCGUGAUUACGGAAGAUAGGAUUAAUUAAUGUUGAUGACAUUAAUUUAUUAUUUUUCUGAGGGCAUAUUGGAUUUCAGUUUCCAUCUGGGGAAUGUUUCAUGGGCAAUUAAAUUUAAUUAAAUCUUAAGCUUUAUCCUGUCAAUGAAUCAAACAAAGUAGGCAAAGAAGCAUUGUUGGACAAAAAAAUAUAAAAAAAAAGGGAUUAUUUUCUUGGUGGUUUGCUGACCUUUGAUCCUUAUAUGAAAAUUCAUAACGAAUAAAAUACGAAUCAAAUCCCAAAAACAAAAAAAAAAAAAAAUAAAGCACGAACUUUUUUGCAUGGGUUUAAAUAAUGCAUAUAAUGCUCGACUAACAUAUGGGUAUUAAAAUAUAUUUAUUAUACCAACGUAUUUGCCACUUACGAACUGAUCUUUAUAUUAAAAUUUUCUUUUGACAAAACUUUAUUAAUUAUAAUAAUUCAAAACUCAAAAGCUUGGCGUAUUAAAAAAAAAUAUGGAUGUAUCGUUGAACACUUGAUUGCGUCCCGCGUUUCACUUGUUCAUUAAAUAUAAUUGUUUUCUUGUUUGCUUUUGAUAAAAUUUGAAUCUUUCUCUUGUUAGGGCUUUUGCUGGGAAUGAAUUUAAAAAUUCAAAAAGAAUAAUUAAUCAAUGCGGUUAUUUUGUUUUCUUCAAGAUUAAAAACAAUAAACAACGAUAUCCACCGAUUCAACACUUAAAACAAAUUAUAAAAAAUUUAUAUAUACAAGUAAAAAUUGACUAGCAAUAAUGAAAAAAAUUACUAAUAACAAUAUCAAUUGACAUCAAGUUCCGUUAUUGAUUUUGAUAUUUACGUAAUUACUACGUUUUUAUAAAUUAAAAAAAUUAUGAUUUAGAUUUAAAAUCUCUAUUCAAACUAUAUUUUAUCUUUAAUUAUCGAAUUAUGUCAAACUAAUCAAGUGGGGUUAUAAUGAAAAUUUAUGAGAAGUUAAAUGUUAAGCAUAAUGGAGGUUAGUUAUGUUAAACGUGGCCCAAGAUUAUCAAAUUGAAACCCUAAUGUGGCAGAAGGCCCAUCAGAAUUUCAUAGACAAUUGGGCUUGAUUCGGUCGGAGUCGUUAGUCCAAAACGGCAGACAAGAGUUUGUUAUCUUGCAAGUAUGCAACUGAAACCUGGGAACCUGCUACGUUGGCAGACCAGACAUAAAUUUUUUUGCCCCGAAUCAGAAAACUAGUUUAACUAGGGUUUUGCUCUCUCUCUCUCUCUCUCUGCGCAAACCCUACCUGUUUGCUCCCAAAGGAUGCCACUUUUUGCUACAUUGAGCUAAAAACAUGGCGUUUUGGUGUAGAAUCAAUCAAUCUAGGCUUCAGCUCAUAUCAAAUCAAUACAGGAGAUUUUACUUUCAAACUCCUUAUGCAUCCUCUAUUGAUCCGAUAAGAACAUCUGUUUUAGGGAAACCCGUUAGCAGUAUUGACGGGAGACCAUCUUAUUUUUACGGUAAUGUUAGAUUUUUUGCUGCCCCUGUUCAGGUAACUUUGCAAAUUAUAUCAAUUUUAGUUAAAACUUAGUUGAUGGGGAACUAUUGUUUAUUUCUGAAUGAGUUUUGGUUUUGGUUGGAUUAAAAGGAUACUUGGGUUCUGAUUACAAUUUGUAUAUAGUUUGUUGAAUUUUGAGUAAUGGAUAUGGGAAGUUUGUGGUGCUUAGGAAGGAUGAAUGAUUGAUUUAGCAUAUUGGUUUUUUUCAGGGAAAGUAUAAUAAUAAGGAAGAGCCGAGCAAAUUUGAGAAGCGUUUGAAUGAGCAAAUCAAAGCUGAUGUUAUUAGAUUGGUGACAGAGGAAGGUAUGUGACGCUGCCUUUCUUCCCAUUGAGCAAAAUAGAGGACCUUUUCACAUAUGCCGGCGUUGAGGUUAUAGGGAUGUGAACUUGUGAGGGGCACUCACUUAGGAUUAGGAUUUAAGACUACUGAACUGAAGUUAAAAUGAGAGAGAAAAGUGGAAGGUUUCUAUUAUUGAUUGUGAUAACAGCUAUUCUAUACGUUGCGUUGGAUUAUCUAAAAUGGAAUGUUAGUCCUUUGCUUUUAGAAAUAAAUCAAUUUAUGAUUUAUGCAUAUGUACAGGUCAUGAGAUCAUCCCAAUUCAUGAAGCACUGAGACGUGCAAAGGUUCUUGAUCUUGAUUUAGUUGAGGUAAAUAUGAUUUCAAUUGAGUGGUUAGGUUACUCUAACUGCCUACUACUCUUUUUACUUGCUCUGGUUCCUGCUGUUCUACAUUUUAUGUAUAUGUGUGUGUGUGUGUGUGUGUGUAUUUGUAAAAGGAAAAAACCCAUUUCUCUAGGUCUCUUCUAUCUGAUAUGUUCCAUUCAUUUAUUUAUCGGUAAUUUUUAGCUGCCGAAAGUGGUGAGGAGUUCUAUAAUCAUAGCUAACAUGCUUUUGCUUUCCUUAGAAAAAUGGAUGUAACAUCUUUUUUAUCACAAGUUACAAUUUCUCUUUAUUUCUAGAUGGUUAAUUUUAAUGUGAUUUGCCACUUGGUAUUGGAGCUUUAUCUCCAUUUCCUUUUAUUUCAUCAUGCUAUGGGGUAACUUCUUUGAUGAUCUGGCCACUGUUUGAAAGAUUUUUAGAAGAAUAACCUUUAUGCCAACUUUUAUCUCCUAUGGGAUCUAAUAGAAGUUGUAUGACUGAUGUAGGUUCAAAAAAGUGCCAAUCCCCCUGUUUGUAAACUGAUGGACUACAAUCAGGAAAGAUACAAGCGACGAGUAAUGGAAAAGGAUCGUGCUAAAAGCAAGGUAGGUUGCAUGAUAAUUCAUGUAUUUGUUCACGUUGCUCUCAAGAUGAAAUAACAAAUAUUCUUUAAGAGAGUGCAUGACUUGAAUGUGUAACCUUGCUUUAGGUUCAAUUAUUUUAUCUGAAGUAAGAUCUGCCUCCAAGAUUAGAUACCUAGUUUCUUGGAGCAACAGGUCCUGUUAGACCAGGGGCCAGAGAAUAAGAGCAAAAACAACAUGGCCUUUGCACCCUGUAAUUUGUGGAGACUGGAGCUUAUUUAGUAAAAAGCAGUUGCACUAUUACUGUGCAAUGUUUUUGCCUACUGGCAAGAAUUAAGAUAAUAAACUAAGCAAGCUAGUAGACCCAUGGUCUCCUAAUGAACUUGUUUCGCAUUGAUUUUUUCUAACAUAUCAGUUAACUAUGUGACACUUUCAGGAAGUGCCAUAAUAUAUUUGAUGUGUUAAACAAUUAUUAUUGUUGUUUAAUUGAUAUGAACCACCAUCAUACUUGAAGUUGACUAUUGUUGUCUUUAUGUGUGUCUCUGUGUGUUUGCUCAUGCAUGGUGGACCUGCCUGUUUUUCAAAGAACGUUAUCUAUGCCCUGUUCUUUAGCUUGAUAAUUUUGUUUUUCUGUAGUCAGGAAAGGCACUAAAGAAAGGAGAAUGCAAAGAGAUUCGAUUCACUGGGAAAAUAGUAAGUUCUUUCUUUAAGAAAUUUGUAUCUUUUUCUUAUCAUCCAUUCAAUAUUGAUACAUCCUGAAACCAUGAUGCAAAACAUCCAAUCAGCAAUAGUACUAAAGAUAAAAGAAAUAAAAAAUGUUUUAAGGCUGGACAACGUAGUCACACAUAAUAAGAGCAUUUAUGAAAAAUUUUAAACUAUUCAUCUGUGGCUCUUUCUGAACUGCUUAAUGCCAGAUACACAAAUUUAAGCUGAUAUUUUGAAUCUGCUGCUCAAGUUUCGAACAUGUGUAGACUUCUCUAUAUCAAUCCAUACUGGCUGAAAGGUACAUGAGCCUUAAGGGCCCAACCUUAUGACAUGUACUGUAAGUAUCAUGUAAAGAUUUGGGAGGGUAAGUAGACAUGUAAACUGCAAUGAAAUUACUCCUUGAAUAAAGUGCAUUUGCAUUCAAAAAAGAUUGUCCAUUGCCAUUUCCUUGUCAAUUUGUUAUACCUGGAGCCAGUAAUCCAUAGAUUCAUAAUUUUACAGAGGAAUAGAUUAUGGCAUGACCUAGAUGGGAUUUUCUUGUUAUUGAUAUUUUUUGAAUGGUUCAGUGGAUGACUUAUUCCCUCCUUGUUCAAAUUUUGAUGAUGUUCCCUGUAUUAGUAAAGCAGACUCCAAGCAGAGAUGGGGACCAUGACAAAAUUUCUUCUUCUUCUUCUGCAGGAAGCAAAAGACAUUAAAAUGAAGGCAGAUAGUGUUAUAAGAUUAAUGGAACGUGGUUAUCGAGUGAAGGUACUUACUUCCAAUCCUUUGAGGGAUUAAUGAUUUAAUUAAAGUAUGUUUUUACUAGUUUGUAAGUGUAAUUUUGUGGUGCAAGAUUAAUGAUUAGGUAGUAAUUGAGAUUUGUAGCCACUUUUAUUUUAUUUUAUCCCCUGAUUCUGGUAGACUCUUCUGUUUUAGUGCUUCUAUUUGCUUCCUAUUUUAUGCUGUUGUAUGAUGAUACAGUAGUAUGUACCCAAUUUUUUUUUCAGAAGAGAUAAGUUUUGAUCCUAGCAGAUCUUUUGUAUUUCCAAUUCCCUUGUUUUCUAUGUUUUUUCUUUACAUAUAUGGUGAUGAUGUUUGCCUUGUGUGCCAAAUACUCUGUACUUUGACUUAAAAAAAGAAAAAAAAAUUUAGCCUGGAUUCAAAAAUAAUUCUGAAAGUGGUAGGGCCAAAGUAUGGAAAAGCUCAUGUCUUCUGAUGGGCAAAAUAAUUGUGGCAUGUUUGCCUGAUAGUCUCUAAAUUGGUGAUAUUCAGAUUAGUUAUCAUGGUUCUGAUGAAUAUUAAUAACUGUCUUCUGUGGUUCUCUAAUAGUGUAUGGCCAUGGGCAAGGGUAAGGAGGAUGAAGACGAGGACUUGGGAGGACUGUUGUCUCGUCUCACUGACUUGGUAUCUCACAUUUCUGCAUUUUUUUCUUCUAGUGUCUGAUGUGAACUUUUGAUUCCUUGUAUCUGUUUCCUCUUCCCCCUAAGCCCGCCCUUUUUUUCUAAACCUUAUUAUGCAGAUCCAAGAUGUAUCUGUUGUGGAAAGUGGGCCAAGGGUGGAGAGAAAACAGGCAUAUGUUGUAGUCAGGCAUGUCAAAUUUGGCCCAUUGAAGAAAGGUGGUGGAAAAACAUCAAAGGUUGUAGAGGAUACAAAGGCCGAACGUAAGCCCAUGGUGCCUGAAGAUGAUUCUAUUGAAUCCAUCUCAGAGUCUGAAAAUGAGAUACUUUCAGAUGAAGAUGACCUGCCUAGAUCUUCACCAAUGCAAAUGCAGGGUAAAAAUUUUGAGGACAAGAAGACUGCUUGGUCGGUCUCUGAAUCUGGUGAUGAUUUUGACAAAUUAUUUAAUCUUAAUGGAGGCUUCUCAUCAAAUUCUACGAGUAAGGGAAUACAUGCUGCUCAACACACAGUUAACUCCUCACGAAAUGAUUUUGCAUCAAAGUUUUUGCAUCCCAAGCCAGUAGCUAACUCCACUGAAUACUCUCAUCCAGACACAUCCCUUGGGACUGAGAAUAGAUACAGAAAAAGUGAGCCAAGGAAUCAGUUUCCACCUGCUAGAUCAAUGGGUCAUAUGGGCCAGAAUACAAGAGAGUCAGGUAGGUCAGAACCUCGGUUCUCAUAUCAACGGCAGCAAGCACCUCAAAAUAUGAAUGCCUCAUCUUCAUUGGGAGAAACAAAGCAAGUUGGGAAUGACGCUUCUCUGGUUAGAAACUUGAGGCCUCAAACUAAUGACUUGCCCAAGCAACGACCGUCUCAUUCUGAUGUUCCAGGUACUCCAGCUCCUAGCUUUGGGAUAUUUAGCACUCCAACAGCAAAUUCAUCUGGCAAGCAAGGUAUAGGAGCAGAGGUACAUGGGAGCAAGGAGGGAAACAGGUAUGCAUCUCUAAGGAAUUGUGGCCUAGGAGGAAAUGGAGCUACUCCGAACUUUCCUGGCUCAAAGUUCAAUGGUAGCCAGAGGCCGAAUGGCGAUAUGGGUGGAAAAGAUAGAUUUGGAAUAUUCAAUAGCGAUAACUCGACUUCAAAUAGAAUGCCUAAGUCAAAUUAGGCUUGUAGUAGAUGUUAUGCAAUUCUUUGUUAUGGCCAGAAAUACCUAAUGGGAGAUGCAGUUUUGGUGAAAAAAAAUGUUAUUUAUUUUUUUGGAGUAAUUGAUCAUUAUGAUACAUUUCCUUACUUUUGUGUUUGGUUGAAAUCAUGGCCAAGUGAAAGAAGAAAACGGAAGAGCUUAUAUUUUUUAUGUAACCUGAUGUGGUGUAAUAAUAAGAGGAAAAAAAGCACGUCCCAUUUGGUUUGAGCAAAAAAAUUAUUCUGUCAAUCUAAUGGAGCCCAAUGAAGGCCUUCUUCUUCCCUCUUUUCUCUCGCUUUUUAUAUCAAAAUUAAAUGAUUAAAAUAUUCAUUAAGUCUUUAUAUUUAGAUAUUUUCUCUAAUUUAAUUUCUGUAUUUAAAAUUAAAAUAAUUUAAUUAGUUGAUUUCGAGAAUUGUUCUAAUUUAAUCUUUUUUUCUUAAUCGUAUUUAAUUUUAUCAUUAAAGGUAAUAACAUUAACGUUGAUAUGAUAUAUUUUAGUGACGUAGUAUCAACAUGAUGACGUGACAAUGUUACAUGAUAUCAUUAUAUUAACAUGAUAAUAUCAUAUGACAUUAAUAUGAUGAUGUGAUAAUGUUAACUUGACAUUAAUAUAUUGACGUGACAAAUUGAAAAAAAAUUUCUUUGCCAUGCCAUAAAAAUUAAAUUGAACAAAAAUGUAUAAUAUAGGGAUUAAAUUGAAUAAAAUUGAGAUAUUUAAGAACUAAAUUGAAAAAAUAUUUAAAAAAAUAAAUAUUUAAAUAGAUGAUACAUAUACUUAUUAAUAAGUCAAAUGAUAUUUAAAUGUAAAAUAUUUAUGAUGUUAAAAAUAUAUAUAAAUAUUUUCUUACUUGAAUAUUUGAUUCUAUAAUAUAUACAUUAAUUUUUUUUACAAAAAUUAAGUUUAAAUUAUUUUUUUAUAAAAAAAUUUCAUUUGAAUUCUUCAUUAACUCAUAAAAUGUUUUAUAUUUGACAUAAAGUUUUUGUCUUCCAAAUAAACAAGUAUAAAUCUUGAAAGCAUUUUUUGAAAAAUAUUUUAAUCAAAACAAAUAAACCUUAAAAAAAAUAAAAAGAUGGUAAAUAUUGAAAAGAGGAGGGUUAAAAAGGUAAAAUAAAAACGACACGCGGGAAAUUCAUGAGCUAUGGAAGUAGCACGCAAGGACUUUUCACUGGUCCUCGGAAGCUGCCCUUUCACGGUUCUCUACAAGUAUUAAUAUCAAAAUCCACAAGAAUUUUCUGUUAAUCCCUAUCACAUUCAAACUCUCGCCCUUUAGAGUUUCAUUCUUAUUCACUUUUAAUUACUAAUAACUAAGAAAGAUUUAAAUAUCAAUUAGUUGAAAGCUCUCCAGGAUCAACAUAAACCUCGAAAGACACCCAGAUAACUGCCAUUAAAAACGAUCGCUCUGUUCUAUGGUUUUGAAUUUUUUUUUUCCGGCGAAACUUUGUUUUCUGCAUUUAAAUCAAUUACCUCGUUAUUAGGUAUUUGGGUUUUUGUUCCGAGAAUGUCACGGUGCUUACCGUUUCCCUCGCCGGGGUACGUGCGGAAUGGAGUGAGUGGGGAGGCUCUUUCGGAGCUGAUUAAGGUUCGUUUUGAGCAAGCUUUCCUGCUCUCCUUGGAUCUUGAUCAGAAGUUUCUAAUUCUAGAGUGCAUUUAAGUCUAUUACUACCUCUUUUUCUUCAUUUAAUGAUUCUGAAGUUUGAUUUCCCUCUCUUUUGAGGAUUAGACCAACAUUGAUUAAAAAGAGAAAACAAAUAAUCAGUAGAAAUCUCAACGAGGGUUUGAUCGACUGUAGAGUGGUGUUUAGUCUACAUGCUUUGAGUGAAGAAAUCAUAGGGAAAAAAUAUUAAGUUAACUAAUGAACCACUGAGUCGAGAAAUUUCUAUUAGCAUUUAAGUUUGCUUCAGAAUAUUGAAUUUACUAUUCAUUUCCCUGGCUUUCUUGCAUGUUCCACCACCUCUGCAUCAAUAGCAUUUAGUCGGUUGUCUUCUAUAUUGUGGGGCUUUUAAAAAAUUUCUUCAUAACAUGAAUAAUUGGUAUCAAUCAUGCUACUGAUCUGUCAAGCCUAGCGUGGAUGUGACUGGUUUAAGACAUUAGCCAGCUUGGUGAAUAAAGAGGAAUACUGUUAAUAAAAAGAUUUUCUGGAUAAACUGGACGGUGAUUGAACACGUGUCUCCAGAAAGUAAAACAUUGGUUCAUCUUAAGUUUAUACAAAUUAAUUUUAUAAAAUUACAUCCCAUUUUGUGAAAUUUUAUUACAUAGCGUGUGUUACAUUUUUCUCUGGCCGUACAGGUUCAGAGAGAAAGAGUGAAAGCUGAAAGGGAAAUGAAGGAGGAAGGGACAAGCAAGAAAGAGGAGGAAAGAAAGGGAGAGCAAGGAGAGAUUUGCCAGAAAAAACCAGGUCAUCGUGAAAGGCGUAAGCGUUUGAGGAGCAAUGAAGGUGGAGGAAGAAGUGAAAUCCAAGGUAAAACUGAAUAUGGAACCCAGGAGAUGGAGUCGAGCAGCCUUACUGAAGAGCUUAAGCAGCCUAUAUCUGACAGCUUUUAUGAGUCUUCAGACUACAGCCAAAGCAUUCGUAAGAAAAGAAACAGCAGAUCCCGCAAUGAAUGCCAUAAUCAUGGUUAGCGAAUAUUUGUUCAUUAUUUUCUAGUUGUUGAGUUAUCUUCUGAAUUUUUGACAUUGAUAUUCUCUCUUCAUGUUUUUACUGUAGGAAAUAUCGUUCAGACUGAUUUCCAGCUGCAAACGCACAAGACUCCUGAAGCCCUAUCCAGCAAAACAGACUGCUCUACCCUAAUGAUGGAUUCUGUAGUCCAGAAAAAGCUUGAAUUACCUGUCGAAGAGCAGUUUUCUUCAGCUUCUGGUGUGCCAGCUACUGACGUCCAAGAGUUUGUUCCACCACCUCUAAAGAGAGCUCUGUCAUUCCUCUCAGACAGCUAGGAUCUAUAUGGAUGAGAAAUCCAAAAUGACUCUGACAGAACAAUUCAGAGAGUUAGUGGAGAACUGGCUUCCCCGUCCCCUGCAGAUUGAGCAAUUUGACGUUGGUGAUCAAGAGGGGCUCUUUGAGAGGAAGCCACACAGAGGCGGCAUGCAUUUGCAAGACAUCCAACGCUAGCAAUGAUGUCCUGGAUCAUGGAUACUCUACUUCAUGUCCCUAUGGUCAGUAUUUGCUCCACUCCCCUUUAAUGCUGGAUUCUGGAGUCCAAAAGAAGCUUGAAUUGGAUCCUACACCUGUCAAAGAGCAACUUUCAUCUGAUUGUGGUGUGCCUGCUACUGAUGAGAAGUCUGAAAUGGCUCCAACAUCCAGCUGCUCUGAAAUUAGCUUUCUGCAGAUAGAAUCACAAUUCAGAGUUAGUCGGGAACUGGCUCCCCCCUUCCUUGCUGUCUGAGCACUUUGACAUUGGACAUCAAGACUGGCUCUUCGAGACGAAGCAAACCGGGAGCGACAUAAGAGACACAUCUAAUGCUAGUUAUGAUGUUUUACAUCAAGGAGACUUCAAUCAGCACCCACGUGCCCAAUACUUGCCCCAGGCUAACAUAUAUGCCUUGCCAUAUUAUACAGUACCAUACUAAAACUGUUAAAGAGGAAAAUGACUGUGGAGUAAGAGUUUUUUUC